CCUCCUCAUCUCCAUCUUCUCCUCACAAACCCUAACCCUAACUAAAACCCUCCCCCACAUCCACACCACCUCCCACCUCCAGCUCUCCCUCGCCGCCAUCCACUGCUCCACCACCCUCUACCCCGAUCUCUGCGUCUCCACCCUCUCCACCAUCCCCGACCUCCACACCAAGUCACUCGCCGAAAUCAUCUCUGCCGCCGUCAACCGCACCUUCGCCUCAGUCCACGAAUCCUCCUACAACUGCUCCGCCUUCCUCCGUCGCCCACAUCUAGACCCCCGCCAACAGCUAGCCCUCACUGACUGCCUCGAGCUCCUCGGCAUCACUGUCGAUGACCUCCGCUACGCCAUCUCCGACCUCUCAUCAAACGCCUCCUCCCACGUCGCCAACAUCAACACCGUCCUCUCCGCCGCAAUGACCAACCAGUACACAUGUCUCGACGGGUUCGCUUACGUCAAAGGCCGCUCAAACCUCCGCCCCGCCCUCGAGGGGCGAUUCUACCACAUUUCGAAGCUCGUCAGCAAUGCAUUGGCACUUGCCAAGAAAAUCGACCGGCGGCGGCGCCGCCACCCCCACCGUGGUACAUUAGAAGGGUUUGGUAAGAUGGUCGGUGAGUUUCCGAGUUGGGUGAAGGAGACGGAUAGAAGAAUGCUGGCCACGGUGGUGAAUGGGACGAUGGCGAACUUGGUGGUGGCGAAGGACGGGAGCGGGAACUUUACGACGGUGGGGGAGGCGGUGGCGGUGGCGCCGAAUAAUAGUGCUACUAGAUUUGUGAUUUAUAUAAAGGCGGGGGCUUAUUUUGAGAAUGUGGAGGUCGGGAAGAAGCAGAUAAACUUGAUGUUCGUCGGUGAUGGGAUCGGGAAGACGGUGAUCAAGGCGAGCCGGAAUGUUGUCGACGGCUGGACCACUUUCCGGUCGGCGACAGUAGCUGUCAUCGGAAACAAAUUCAUAGCUCGUGACAUUACAAUCGAGAAUGCAGCCGGGGCCAGCAAGCAUCAGGCCGUUGCCCUCCGUGUCGGUGCCGACUUCUCCGCCUUCUACCGCUGCAGUUUCGUCGGCUACCAAGACACCCUCUACGUCCACUCCCUUCGCCAAUUCUACCGUGAAUGUGACAUCUAUGGCACUGUCGACUUCAUCUUCGGCAAUGCC
rnacentral:misc_RNA from 1 species